CCGGCGACCGGCGCACGGGUGAGUAACACGUAUGUAACCUGCCCUAUGCAGGGGGAUAACCCGGAGAAAUCCGGCCUAAUACCGCGUAACAACCCAUGGAGGCAUCUCUGUGGGUUUAAAGGAAGCGAUUCCGGCUACGGAUGGUCAUGCGUCGCAUUAGCUUGUUGGCGGGGUAACGGCCCACCAAGGCGACGAUGCGUAGGGGUUCUGAGAGGAAGGUCCCCCACACUGGUACUGAGACACGGACCAGACUCCUACGGGAGGCAGCAG
rnacentral:rRNA from 1 species